UUUUUUUAACCAAUAGUGACUUAUGAGAUUGUCUGACAUAUUGUUUUGCGAUAAAAAAACAUGCAAUAUAUUAUUAAUUGAUGAAAAUGGUGAUUGCAUCUAUAACACCCCGUUUUCCCAAUAUAAAAAUUUUUAAACAUUUAUCAGAGUAAACAACAUAAACAAACGGGAUAUCACAUUUAACAUAAUCCAAUAUCAGUUAAAUAACAAUUUAACCAAAUACUUAAACAAUGCAGCUGAAAUUAUCUCAUGAACCAUAAAAAUCGUUUUGGCACGUAGGCCCCAUCAAAAUAUCUCAACAGUUAACAACAAUAUAACAUAACGUAAUAGUUCACGUAAUAGAAUGAAGCAUGCAUGACAUAUAUCCCCAUCCCGUUACGUAUCAGAGCGACCUAGACGACUCAGUGAGGCAAGGCCACUCACAACAGCAGACUGCACACUUAAGCACGAUCACCUGCAAGUUACUCAUACGAAGAUCAACAUUUUCAAGCAGNUAUUUAUUUAUUUUAAUUGAGUUUAGAUGCCUUUUUAUAAUUUAAUCGAUUUAUUGUGAUGAGUGAUAUUUUGUUGUGUUAUAUGUUGGUAUUUAUUAGUAUAAUAUUAUAUUAUUUGGUGUAGAAAUAUAUGUUAUUUGGUGUAAAAAUAUAUGUUAUUUGAUGUGGAAAUAUAUGUAUUUGUUGUAGCAAUAUAUAUGUUAUAGAAAUAUAUCUGUUAUUUGUUAUAGAAAUAUUAUAUAUAUAUAUAUAUAUAUAUAUCUAUAUAUAUAUAUAUUAGAAUAGAAUGUGGAGACUUUGAGGAAAGAUUUAGAAAUAAGAGAAAAUAAGUAGGUUAAAGAUUUAUAUAAAAGGGGAGAGUUAGAAUUAAAAAAUAAGGAUUACGUGAAACCUGUUUUUGGAGAAAAAGGGAGAAAACCAAGAGAAGAGAAAAGUCAAGAGAAGAGAGGAGAACCUAGAAGAGUCUGCGAUAUCGAUUUUCUUAAGGUAAGGGUGGGACUAGUUUUCUGUAAUAAUGGGUUGUAUGAUUCUAAAAAGGGGUUUAACAUCUUGUUGUUUUGUUAGUUUUGAUGUUAUAGAAAUUAGGGUUAAAUUGCAAAAUUGAUGAUUUUCUAAAAUAAUGUUUUGGUUCAAAUUUUACAUGGUUUUGAGUCUCUUUUGAUGUAUAUAAAUGUUUAGACAAACUUUGGGAUCAAAAUUAGGCAUAAGGAAGUUAAAAUUGGGAUUUUGGGGUGAAAAAUUGAGUUUUUCCGAGAGCUAUCUGUUAUAACUCGCCAUGGCGAGUGAAUGUACUCGCCGGGGCGAGUGGCUCUCUGACAGCAUGCCCUGUUUCAAGUUCUUGCAUCUUUUUCACACGUUUCUGUUUUGAAUUGGCCUUUGGUGUAAACAUGAAAAUUGUAGAUAAUUGAGUUAGCUUUCCAGUGGCGUUGGUUUGACGUGAAAAUGAAUUUUGGUACUUGAGAUAUGAUGAAAAUACUCCAAGGAGGUCUUAGUGAAAUCUUAUGAAAAUUCAGCAUAACCGUUUCUAAGUUAAUCCAAAACUUAUGGAAUAAUUCCAAACCUCAAAACUAGAAAUACUAUGAAUUCAAUUAGGGUGUUUAAGAGUAUUUAAUCUAUCUUGUGAUGGAUCUAAUUUGGUUUGACGUGAAUAUCUUUGUUGGAUAAUUAGAAAUACAUAUAUUAUGUGAAUAUUGUAUGAUAUAGAAAUAUUGUUGUUCAUAGCAUUCAAGUUGUUGUUGUUAAUAUUGUUAUGAUCCAAGUUGUUAUUGUUGAUGUCAUUGUUGUUGUUGAUUGUAUUUAUUAUUGUUGUUCAGAGAGUCUGAAAUUAAGAUGAUUUAAUGGUGAUAGUAAUGUUGCUGUUGAUCAAGUUGCAGGUGUUGAUCUAAGUUGUAAAGUUGUAAGUUGUCUUUCCAAAGUGUUCCAAAGUAUUGGAGUCUUAAGUUGUUAAUGUUAUCUAAGUUGUUGAAGUCGUAGUUGAAGCUGUUGUUGGUGACUAUUUAUGUUCAGGUGUUUUGUGAGAGGUGAUGUACUCUUACGGUGUUGUUUUAUAAGAUGUGGUGUACUCUUACGUUGUUGUUGUAUAAGAGGUGGUGUACUCUUACGUUGUCGUAUUAUAAGAGGUGGUGUACUCUCACGUAGCUGUAUUGUCAGGUUGACGAUGUCGUCGUCGAAUCGUUGAAGUUGUUGUUGAUGACAAACCAUGAAAUAUUAAUGAUUAUAAUAUUGUUAUGUUGUUUAUGAUGUUGUUUAUGAGGUAAUUAUGUUGUUAUAUGAUGAUGUUUAUGUUGUGUUGUUUAUGUUGAUAUAAGAUGAUGUUUAUGAUGUGAUAAUUUAUGAUGUUAUAUGAUGAUGGUUAUGAUUUGAUUAUUAUGUGCUAUAUGAUGAUGUAUAUUGUAACACACCCCGUUUUCCCAACAUAAAAAUUUCAUUUAUUUAAUCAGUAAUUCACAUAAACGGAAUGUCACACUUCUUUUCUUAAAAUCAUAAACGGAAUAAUUAAUUAAUUAUCCUUCAAAAUUCAAUAACAUAAUAUUUAAUACUUCACAGCGGAAUUUAUUCGAACAUCUAAAAUAAUUUUGGCACGAAGAUCUCAUCAAAGUAUCUCAUAAAAAUUCAAUUAACAACUUAAUCAUGUAAAUUCAUAAGCAAUACGUAAGGAAUAGAAAAGCAUGCAACAAAGUUCCCAUCCUGUUACGUAUCAGAGCACCUAAAGACACACAUGAGAGAUUAUCCACUCACGACAGCAAUCUAACAGCAACUUAAACUCGAUCACNGUCUCACCCUUACCUUGUAUUGAAGAAAUCGUAGCCCUCUCUCUAGCCUUCUCUUGGUUUUCCUUCUUUUCCAAAAACAAACGUACGUGCAAUGUUUUUCUAAAACUAGGUCUAUCUCUUUUAUACCUCUUCCUAAUGUCUUAUCUUAUCUCACUUUCUUCCCCAAAACUCUCUAAAAUCUCAAAACAACCCUCAACUAAAUAUUUUUCAUAUUUUUAUUUUCUUAUCAAAUCUUAUUUUAUUUAACAAUAAAAUAAGCCUCAUAAUCUUAACAAAUCAUUAAAACACAUCCAAAAUAACUUAAAUCAUCUUAAAUCAACAAAACUCACACAUAUAUUAUAAAAUAUAAUAUAAUUGCCUAAACUCGAUUAAAUAAAUAAUUAAACGAAAGUGGGUGUUACAGCAUCAAUAUGACGUUUGAAUCCUUCAUCAGGCCUCAUGCCUAUCACCUUUUGUUUGACUUCCCUCCUUCCUCAUGCCUAUCACGCCUUUGGAUCCUUCAUCAGGCCCAAAUCCUUUGUGCGAAACCACACCCGGUUUGAUUCUGCUAAGCCAAAACGUCAAAACAGUGUUUCCGGUCUCUACUCGAUCAUCAUCUCAGCCUUGAUUCUAUCAGUUGACUUUGUCGGCAUGCCC
rnacentral:lncRNA from 1 species